rnacentral:rRNA from 1 species
UUAAAAUAUAAAACCUUAAUUAUUAGUAGUUAAGUUCUUGAAAAUUAAUAAAGAUGGCGGUAUUUUAGUCUAUUCAGAGGAACCUGUCCUGUAAUUGAUAUUCCACGAUUUUAUAUACUUGAGUUUUUAGCUUGUAUAUCGCUGUAGGUUGAAUAUUUCUGUUGAAUUACAAUAUUCAUGAUUUUUAGGGAAAGGAUUUCAAGUCAAGAUGUAGCUUAUAUUUAAGAAGAGAUGGGUUACAUUAUAGAUAAAUGUGGUUAGUUAAUUUUAAUGUUAAUUAUAAAAUGGAUUUGAAAGUAAUUUAUUAAAUUUUAAUGGAUGAUUAAAGCUCUAAAAUA